AACGAAUGGUUGAGCACCAGGUGGGAAGGCAUAGCUAACCCAGGGAGCUCAGGUGCAAGCAAUGCACCUGAGUGACUGGAAGGAGUGGAUCCUGGCUCUGCCCCUCCUCACCUUCAUUUGAGGGUUAGCAGCCAGGGGUGUAGUAUCUCUUUGGAUAGAGAUUGUACUCCUCUCAAACUGUGUCCAGUUGUCAGAAUGGGGCAGUGGUGAUAGAGAACAGCACAGUGGUCUUCCCAUCCUCAGCCACUGUGCUGAAAUGCACAAAAUGGGAUUGAUCCUUCCCUUCGAGUCAGUUAUCUGAAACUCUGCAAACAAGUGGAAUUCUUUUUCAAACUCAACCAACAAACUGGAAGGCCCAGGAUGGCCUUCAGCUGCACCAUGUUUGGGGAGGGACAUCCCUGGAACGUGGAGGAAAUCCCCAGCUGUAUUGCUCCAAGACCUGGAUGCCCCUCAAGAGCUGAUGCAUUGUUAGGCUGAACUGCAGCUUGAUCCAGUUCUUCGCACUGGAGUGCAAGUGACUUUGUUGCUAACUAAUCACCAGGGUGGGUAUUUUCUGGCAACAUGAAAGCAAAUUCCGUGGAAGUGAUGGAAUCAUCGUGCCAUGUUUGACAGCAAACUUUGUUUGGGACCUUGUGACUGCUUUGUUGUUGUUUGUUGUUAUGAAAACAGAAAUUUUUUGUGGAAAGACAUUGAUUUCAGAGAAAAAAAAAGUCUUUUACAAGAAAUGGCAGCUGUGGUCAAAGAAGGAGGGAUUACAUGCUCUUUUGAAGCAGAGAGGUUCAGCCUCAGAUUCUAGCUGUGUUUCACCUGUUUUUUGAGUGCAAACCAGGGUCACUUCACCUUGGUGCUCUCUGAAGGAAUCCCUAUUCACUGACAGCUCUGUCCCCUCAGCUGAACAAACCCACAGAAAGGGUACACACUGUUAAAGAGGCAGAAGGCUGUGGCACAGAGAUAAGAGGUGUUUUAGGGAUCUGAGACAGCUAAAGGAGGUGGUAAUUUCCUUGGGGAGAGCCCACUGGUGCCUAGCAUGUCCCUCCCAUUACCAAAGGAUGGCUGUGUUAGGUAGUCAUGCCACUGAUUUUUUUGUGGGAUGCAAGAAAUAUGACAUCUCCAAUAUGGAGACUUUAAACAUAAGCAGGAACCCACUCAGAAGCCAUUCAAAGCUGAGUUCUCUGCACUGUGGAUCAGGGCUCUGCUCUCCAGGAGGAAGGUGGGGAAUUCAGCAAGGGGCACGAGGCAGUGAAGGCACUCGCUGUCUCUUGACAGUGUUUAAAACAUCCCAGCUUCAUUCCACACUGCAGCGAAACCUUGUUUCUGAAACUUCAGCACUUCUUUGUGAAAUGACAUUCUUGGUCUGGAGCCAGCCUGAAAAGACAGUCUCUGAGAUUGUCAGUUCAGCUUUAGCCCAAAGAAUGAUCAGGGAAAAAAAAAAAAAAAAAACUAUUACAGCUUGACAGCUGUUUUUGAC